UGCUCUUGUGACCUAGUGGUUAGAGCGUCCGCCUCAGAUGUAGGAAGGUUGCGGGUUCGAACCCCCCGGCCAAGUCAU